UACGUAGGGGGCAAGCGUUGUCCGGAAUCAUUGGGCGUAAAGAGCGUGUAGGCGGUCCGUUAAGUCGGCUGUGAAAGUCCAAGGCUCAACCUUGGGAUGCCGGUCGAUACUGCCGGACUAGAGUUCGGAAGAGGCGAGUGGAAUUCCCGGUGUAGCGGUGAAAUGCGCAGAUAUCAGGAAGAACACCCGUGGCUAAGGCGGUUCUCUAGUACGGUACUGACGCCUGGAGACGCGAAAGCGUGGGGAGCGAACAGG
rnacentral:rRNA from 1 species